rnacentral:antisense_RNA from 1 species
AAAGGGGACGGAGGGGAUUAAGUCGCAUCCGGCAUGCCACGUGCCGGAUGCGACUUAAUCCCCUCCGUCCCCUUU